AGAGUUUGAUCCUGGCUCAGGAUGAACGCUAGCUACAGGCUUAACACAUGCAAGUCGAGGGGCAGCAUGGUCUUAGCUUGCUAAGGCCGAUGGCGACCGGCGCACGGGUGAGUAACACGUAUCCAACCUGCCGUCUACUCUUGGACAGCCUUCUGAAAGGAAGAUUAAUACAAGAUGGCAUCAUGAGUCCGCAUGUUCACAUGAUUAAAGGUAUUCCGGUAGACGAUGGGGAUGCGUUCCAUUAGAUAGUAGGCGGGGUAACGGCCCACCUAGUCUUCGAUGGAUAGGGGUUCUGAGAGGAAGGUCCCCCACAUUGGAACUGAGACACGGUCCAAACUCCUACGGGAGGCAGCAGUGAGGAAUAUUGGUCAAUGGGCGAGAGCCUGAACCAGCCAAGUAGCGUGAAGGAUGACUGCCCUAUGGGUUGUAAACUUCUUUUAUAAAGGAAUAAAGUCGGGUAUGUAUACCCGUUUGCAUGUACUUUAUGAAUAAGGAUCGGCUAACUCCGUGCCAGCAGCCGCGGUAAUACGGAGGAUCCGAGCGUUAUCCGGAUUUAUUGGGUUUAAAGGGAGCGUAGAUGGAUGUUUAAGUCAGUUGUGAAAGUUUGCGGCUCAACCGUAAAAUUGCAGUUGAUACUGGAUAUCUUGAGUGCAGUUGAGGCAGGCGGAAUUCGUGGUGUAGCGGUGAAAUGCUUAGAUAUCACGAAGAACUCCGAUUGCGAAGGCAGCCUGCUAAGCUGCAACUGACAUUGAGGCUCGAAAGUGUGGGUAUCAAACAGGAUUAGAUACCCUGGUAGUCCACACGGUAAACGAUGAAUACUCGCUGUUUGCGAUAUACUGCAAGCGGCCAAGCGAAAGCGUUAAGUAUUCCACCUGGGGAGUACGCCGGCAACGGUGAAACUCAAAGGAAUUGACGGGGGC
rnacentral:rRNA from 1 species